CCUACGUGCGGCAGCAGUGGGGAAUAUUGGGCAAUGGGCGCAAGCCUGACCCAGCAACGCCGCGUGAAGGAAGAAGGCUUUCGGGUUGUAAACUUCUUUUGUCAGGGACGAAGCAAGUGACGGUACCUGACGAAUAAGCCACGGCUAACUACGCGCCAGCAGCCGCGGUAAUACGUAGGUGGCAAGCGUUAUCCGGAUUUACUGGGGGUAAAGGGGGUGUCGGCGGGACUGCAAGUCAGAUGUGAAAACCACGGGCUCAACCCGUGGCCUGCAUUUGAAACUGUAGUUCUUGAGUGCAGGGGAGGCAGACGGAAUUCCUAGUGUAGCGGUGAAAUGCGUAGAUAUUAGGAGGAACACCAGUGGCGAAGGCGGUCUGCUGGACAGCAACUGACGCUGAGGCGCGAAAGCGUGGGGAGCAAACAGGAUUAGAUACCCCUGUAGUC
rnacentral:rRNA from 1 species